rnacentral:rRNA from 1 species
AGUGAACGCUGGCGGUAGGCCUAACACAUGCAAGUCGAACGGCAGCACAGAGGAGCUUGCUCCUUGGGUGGCGAGUGGCGGACGGGUGAGGAAUACAUCGGAAUCUACUCUGUCGUGGGGGAUAACGUAGGGAAACUUACGCUAAUACCGCAUACGACCUACGGGUGAAAGCAGGGGACCUUCGGGCCUUGCGCGAUUGAAUGAGCCGAAGUCGGAUUAGCUAGUUGGCGGGGUAAAGGCCCACCAAGGCGACGAUCCGUAGCUGGGCUGAGGAGAUGAUCAGCCACACUGGAACUGAGACACGGUCCAGACUCCUACGGGAGGCAGCAGUGGGGAAUAAUGGGCAAUGGGCGCAAGCCUGAUCCAGCCAUACCGCGUGGGUGAAGAAGGCCUUCGGGUUGUAAAGCCCUUUUGUUGGGAAAGAAAUCCAGCUGGCUAAUACCCGGUUGGGAUGACGGUACCCAAAGAAUAAGCACCGGCUAACUUCGUGCCAGCCGCCGCAGUAA